AGGGGGGGGUGCCUAUACUGCAGUCGUGCGGACCUUUUAAAGCUUGCUUUUAAAAGGUUAGCGGCGGACGGGUGAGUAACACGUGGGCAACCUGCCUGUAAGACUGGGAUAACGCCGGGAAACCGGGGCUAAUACCCGAUAGUUUUUUCCUCCGCAUGGAGGAAAAAGGAAAGGCGGCUUCUGCUGCCACUUACAGAUGGGCCCGCGGCGCAUUAGCUAGUUGGGGGGGUAACGGCCCACCAAGGCAACGAUGCGUAGCCGACCUGAGAGGGUGAUCGGCCACAUUGGGACUGAGACACGGCCCAAACUCCUACGGGAGGCAGCAGUAGGGAAUCUUCCCCAAUGGACGAAAGUCUGACGGAGCAACGCCCCGUGAGUGAAAAAGGCCUUCGGGUCGUAAAACUCUGUUGCCGGGGAAAAACAAGUGCCGUUCGAACAGGGCGGCGCCUUGACGGUACCCGGCCAGAAAGCCACGGCUAACUACGUGCCAGCAGCCGCGGUAAUACGUAGGUGGCAAGCGUUGUCCGGAAUUAUUGGGCGUAAAGCGCGCGCAGGCGGCUUCUUAAGUCUGAUGUGAAAUCUUGCGGCUCAACCGCAAGCGGUCAUUGGAAACUGGGAGGCUUGAGUGCGCAAAAGGAGAGUGGAAUUCCACGUGUAGCGGUGAAAUGCGUAGAGAUGUGGAGGAACACCAGUGGCGAAGGCGGCUCUCUGGUCUGUAACUGACACUGAGGCGCGAAAGCGUGGGGAGCAAACAGGAUUAUAUACCCUGGUAGUCCACGCCGUAAACGAUGAGUGCUAAGUGUUAGAGGGUUUCCGCCCUUUAGUGCUGCAGCUAACGCAUUAAGCACUCCGCCUGGGGAGUACGGCCGCAAGGCUGAAACUCAAAGGAAUUGACGGGGGCCCGCACAAGCGGUGGAGCAUGUGUUUUAAUUCGAAGCAACGCGAGAACUUACCACGUCUGACAUCCUCUGACAUCCCUGGAGACAGGGGCUUCUCCCUUCUGGGGACAAAUGACAGUGGUGC
rnacentral:rRNA from 1 species